UAUUUAAGCCACAAAUGCUGGGCCAUCCAUUAAACCAAGAAUGGGGAAAAUUGGCCAAAAUUUGCCUCUGGGAAGGGUCCUACUCUUCUGAAUUUGGUGGAAAUAAGAGUGAGAGGUGCCUAGAUUCUUAUCUCUGCACAGGACAAUAAAACAGCAGAUGAUCUGGUAACAGUGACAAGAACAAAAUCCCACCUACAACUUAAAAAACAUGAAGUGAAUGAUUCUUUCCCAUUAUGUGCAUAAUGAGGUAUUAAAUACAGUUCCCUGUGCUAUAAGGUAGGAACUCGGAUGGCUUUUUUCUGACACUGACUUGAAAAGCAUCCCUGAAGCAACCAGACAGAGCUGUUGUGAGAUUCAGGUUCCGCUGGAAGUCCAGCACGAUGACUGGGGAAGUUUCAGCUAGCUGUGGUGGUGGAAUGGCCCUCCCUCAAAACUAAGUGGUUAAAAAGAACUGUUGACUAUUACUGACAAGACAAUGCAUCCGCCGGAUGGACCCACUGAUCUGGGCUGAGCUCUGCCCACCUCCGCCGGGUUUACUGGCAUCCCUUUGGUCAGCCAGGGCCCCUUUGGCCAUGGCUGGGACACAUCAGCUUCGCUCCACGUGUCCUUUGAUCCUUCCCGCAGGUCAGUCUGGAUUUAUCCACAUGGCAGCGGCAAGGUUCCAACAGAGUGGAAGCAUGGAAGGUCUCUUAAGCUCCGGAGUCAACUGGAUCGUUGUCACUUUGACCUCAUUAUACCGUCAAAAGCAAGCCCAGAUUCCAGAGGAAGGGAAAUAGACAAUGCCUCCUGGUGGGAGGAGCUACCAACUCAUCUUGGAUGCAGGAGGGAAAGAAUUGAAGCCAGAUUUGCAUCCAUGUACCAAAGGGAACUUGAGUAUUCUCAGCUCACAUGGUAAACACCUUAUUUUUAGGGGGGAGAGUAGGAUAAAAAUAAAUGUUAUGUGUGAAAGAAGUUCCCAUACCCAAUUUGGAGACAAUCUGGUUUAUUAAAAUAGAAACAUCUCCCCCCAAUUUUCUUUUUUAGUUCUCUUAUUUCUACCAUUUGUUGACUAUUCCACCCACUGUAGAGAGAAGCUUUCAUAUUUAAUUUGUUUUUUGUUUUGUUUUGUUUUGAUUAUACUUGAAUUAUUUUUGGCUUUGUUUGUUAAUAUAUUAUUGUGGAAUUUAGGUUUCUUAAAACACGAGCAUAUUUUCUA